UGUGUACCAAUAAUCAUUCAUAGCUCCCUGGCAAGUGUAUCAAAUUUAUCUGAAUUGAUUGGAAUUUUAGAAUUCCUUUGAAACUUCAAAACAAAGCGUUGCUUACAAUUAAAGAAUACAAUAGAAUGUUAGUGGUAUGCUAAGUAAUUUAUUGAUACGUGUAAGUUUACUUAUAUUUUUAAAAUUAGUGACUUAAACAUUCGUUCAUUUUCAAUUCGCAAAACUUUAGCAGAUUGAGUAAACGAGCAUAUCUUUCGAGUUAAUAGAUCGGCUUUUUUGGUAUCUCAAACUUGUAAGGUCAUUUUAGGUUUCAAUGAGAAAGAUUCUUGUUUGAGAAGCCAUAGUAAAAGAUAACGGCUACCAUUUUUUUUGAACAAUAUAGAGACUGAAAGAGAGAGUUCUUAAAAAAUCCUUAAAGGAAUGCUAGUAUCCCUCACCCCCCAAAGAAAAUAAACAUUCGAAUGGCUUGUUCACACGCAAGAUGUAAAUACUAGGAAAAACAGAAUUCAUCUCGACAAUCUGAGAAAUGCGUGCAAGAAGUAUAUUUGCAUUACUUAUAAACACCAUUCACUGUAAAAUAUAAUUCCUGAAAAUUUAUGGCAAGAAAAGAAGAUAUUUAAGAUGCUAGUGCGUGAAUUCAAUAUUUUGUGUUACAUUUUUCGACUUUUUUCAAAGAGUAAUAAAAAUAUAAAUUUAUGUAUUAAUAAAUAA
rnacentral:lncRNA from 1 species